GAUGAACGCUGGCGGCGUGCUUAACACAUGCAAGUCGAACGAAGCACUUUAAUCGAUUUCUUCGGAUUGAAAUUUUAGUGACUGAGUGGCGGACGGGUGAGUAACGCGUGGGUAACCUGCCUCACACAGGGGGAUAACAGUUGGAAACGGCUGCUAAUACCGCAUAAGCGCACAGUACCGCAUGGUACAGUGUGAAAAACUCCGGUGGUGUGAGAUGGACCCGNGUCUGAUUAGCUAGUUGGCAGGGUAACGGCCUACCAAGGCGACGAUCAGUAGCCGACCUGAGAGGGUGACCGGCCACAUUGGGACUGAGACACGGCCCAAACUCCUACGGGAGCAGCAGUGGGAAUAUUGCACAAUGGGGGAAACCCUGAUGCAGCGACGCCGCGUGAGCGAAGAAGUAUUCGGUAUGUAAAGCUCUAUCAGCAGGGAGAAGAAAUGACGGUACCUGACUAAGAAGCACCGGCUAAAA
rnacentral:rRNA from 1 species